GCGAAUUUUUUAGAAACUUUGCUUGUCAGUAUCGAAAUGUAAUUUCAUCGAAAUUUCCUGGUGGUGGGGCGUCCCGUGGCGCCCCUGAGACCGAGCAAGGCGCCCGGGUCAUGCGCACACCCUGCACCGUAGGUUAAGAUGGCGCUGUAAGUACCUAACCAUUACAGUAAUCUGUGAUGUAGGAUUUAAAAUAAAAAUAAAUAUAU